CUCGGUGUGAGUUUUUAAACAUUUAUUUUCUCUCCCCUUUCUUUGGGGGCACUCUCCCCUUUAGGAUCUGGCCUGGACUUAGGCUACGAGAACUUGUUGACAAGUGAAAGCUUGGUAGAACCGCGGCCCGGUUUGUGUGUUUGUUUAUUUUUUACAAAGUGACUUCAUAUUUACUCUGGACCUCGUCUGUGCCCUUUGGGGGGACAUCGGCUCUGAUCAGCGCGCCAGCAGCCGCCGUCCGAGCUGCGGGGAAACGGGGCGCGCCCUCUGGGGGGCGAGUGGCAGUGUCCGAGCUAAUUUCCUCCGUAACCUUUAAACUCUCGCUGGAAGCCGUGGCGGCGGUUGAUCACGUGAGGCGAGCCCUGGGCUGCUGGGGAAGAAUUUCCUCCGCGGGGAGCCGGGGACGGGGACGGCUGCCUGGCGAGGGACGGCCCCGCGCCAGGGGACGCGAACCUGCGCGGGCGGGGCCGAGAGCGCGGAGGCCCGGGGCGCGGCCCGGGCCGGACUCCCCGGGGGACUGCGCAGGAAGAGGUCGUCUCUGCAACCUGCGAGCGGGGGUUAGUGCAAAUGGAAAAAGAAAACCUCGGUCCUCACUCGUGUACCAAUCAAGGCAGGCAGUUUGUAGCGACCGUGGUUAAUAUAUUUAUAAUGCAAAUAGCCCUGGAAGGAGUAGUACCUGGACUCAUGUUGCUGUCUUUGAAGAUAUAAUGAAGUUCAAGAUCUUGAGAAGAGAUCAUUCUGGAUCACCCGGGUGGGCUAAAUCCAAAGACAAUACAAUGAAUAUACAGUGAAGCAGAUGGAGAUGGACACAGACACAGAGGAGAAGGCGAUGUAAAGACAGAGGCGAAGACUGGAGUGAUGAGGCCACAAGCCAAGGAAGCCAAAGAAUGUCGACAGCCCCCAGAAGCUGGAAGAGACUAGGAAAGGUUCUCCCCUGGAGCCUCCACAGAGAAUGAGGCAGCAGCAGAAUGCCUUUGGAGUCCCUGGAAAGGAGCAAUCAGCCCUCUGAUAAAAUGGGUCUGGGCUAACUGUUUUUGAAGAAAUGCCACUCUGAAUAUGAAAUGACACAGAGCUUUAACAUGGCUCACUGGAGACCUGAGCUGCUCAAUUGCCCUGGGACCACAGAUCACUUGGAAAUGAAAAGAUAAUGAGAGUAGUUGCCCACUUCGGGCUUUGGGACUUGUUUCAACCAAGGUCUGGUGACUAGUACAGAACAUGGACAGCAUCCAGAUUCUAAGUCCCUGCCUGACCAGUUACCAGCUCUGUGAUUCCAAGUGAAUCACUUAAUGGCUCUGAGCCUCAGUGUCCUCAUCCAGAUGAAAGAGGCGAGUCAUCUCUGCCACCUACUCACAGUGUUGAUCUCAGACAAGAGAAGGUAUGUGAAAGCACAUUGAAAACUCUAGAAGCUGGUGCAGAUUUAAAUAAUAUCAUGGUGAAAAUCCUUGCCCCACCAGGAUGUUAGCUGUCACCUCAUUGCUCAGCAUUUAGCACUGAUCAGAGAUCCUGAACUCCAACAGCUUGUAGUUUGAUGUAGAGACAACAACUCUUUAUACC
ensembl:lncRNA